AUUGAACGCUGGCGGCAGGCCAAACACAUGCAAGUCGAGCGGAUGAGUGGAGCUUGCUCCAUGAUUCAGCGGCGGACGGGUGAGUAAUGCCUAGGAAUCUGCCUGGUAGUGGGGGACAACAGUUGGAAACGACUGCUAAUACCGCAUACGUCCUACGGGAGAAAGCAGGGGACCUUCGGGCCUUGCGCUAUCAGAUGAGCCUAGGUCGGAUUAGCUAGUAGGUGAGGUAAUGGCUCACCUAGGCGACGAUCCGUAACUGGUCUGAGAGGAUGAUCAGUCAAACUGGAACUGAGACACGGUCCAGACUCCUACGGGAGGCAGCAGUGGGGAAUAUUGGACAAUGGGCGAAAGCCUGAUCCAGCCAUGCCGCGUGUGUGAAGAAGGUCUUCGGAUUGUAAAGCACUUUAAGUUGGGAGGAAGAGCAGUAAGUUAAUACCUUGCUGUUUUGACGUUACCAACAGAAUAAGCACCGGCUAACUUCGUGCCAGCCGCCGCCGUAACAC
rnacentral:rRNA from 1 species